GAACUGGGGAUAUUGAUGAAUGAGAAGCUUGACAUGACCCAGCAAUGUGCAGGGGAGCAUUUAUGCUCAGUGAUUUUUGUUUCCCUGCCAGUGCCAGACAAAGAUAUUUGGAAGAUAAGAAUUUUGAAAACCUCCCUGGAAGAAUCUUAAGAGUCACUGUGCUAGUAGAAUCUGAACUGAAGACCACUUCCAUAGGAGUCUUAUCCUAUUGCAACUGGCAAUAGAUGGGUUUAUGAACCAGCUGUGAUUCCCAGAGGCACCAGAUGGCAGCAUUUUUCCCUCACUGAGUGUGAUCUCAUCCUCUCAGAUUCACUCCUGGGAUCAUCAGGCUUUGAGGCUUCGUAAGCCACAAUGACCUCAGCUGAACUGUACCUUCUCUGUUGCCACCUGCUCCUUUUUCCUACUUGUAUUGGACAUGCAGAGUCACAUUCAAGUGGCCUGAACACAAUCCAGGCCCUUGAACUUGUGGCUGCCUUUUGUUUGUGCAGGUCUGAGAGUCUAAAAAGAAUCAUUAGCAAACAGAUAUGCAAAAAUUUAGACCCACAGAAUACAGCUCUGACCUCCAAAUUUUCCACAUCCUCUAAAUAUUAAGUAUCAUGAAGUUUAUUUGAUGUUCUUGUUAACUACAUGCUCUUUUCCAUAUACACUCGUGUCCAAUGUAAUACUUGUCACCAGGCAAGUUUGGCAUGUGUCCUUUUCUAUUGAUGCUUUAUUCCUUGAAUAAUAUUUCAUUAUACACAACUUACAUAUGACAAGUUAUGUGCUACUAGACUUGUAACCUCCAUCGCAAGAACGCAGUUCUGGACAAAUAAUCUGAAGCAGAGCAGGGAUUUUGAGAACUAAACUGCAAGCUCUGGGUUUUUUUACAGUUACAGACAUGGCCUAAAGAUUUGCAAGCUGGGAAUUCUGUUAUCUCACCAUCCUCUGUUCUGCUUCUUCCCUUCAUCCUCACGUUCUUGCUUACAAUGCCGUUAUGUUGGUGGUUUUGUCUCAGAAGAAAAACACCUACACAUUAUGUCCAGCUGUAACAAACUAUUCUUAAAUUAUCUACCUUUAAACUUGGAUCCUGCAGCACUGGGAUGCAAAUGUUUUUUUAUUUGAACCAUGUGACUAACACUGAGAGCAUAAGAAGAGCUGUUUAUCCAAAGUGGAGCUGGAUUGCUGGGCCCUAGAGGGUGAAGGGGUAGCAGCCCUGGCUGCUGCUUUCUUUGUUACUCCAUCAGGUUGCUGGUGUUUCUGCUGUGGUGACUGUGUUAAUGUUUUACAAAUGCUAUGAGCUCAGUAGUAGACUAUUUGGGGAUUGUAUAAUUUAUUAACUUAUGACAAGCAGGCCAUUAUUUUUCUGAAGAACAUGUGUGACAAGGGACUUAUUUUAUUUUUCAAAUUUCAGCCAAGUUCAACGUGAGUGUCACAGGACAGAGGCACUAGAUCCUCGACAGCCCCACCCUUCCUCUUAUUUAAUACUGAAAACUAUCUGUAAACAAGCAAGACAGAGGGAGGGAAGAGUAAUUCUCGGAGGAAAUAUUAAGAAUCCUGUAUGAUUAAAAUAUUAGGCUGUGUAAAUUUGGGAAACAGUGCCAUUUUUUUCUGUUAAAAAAUUCUAAUUAAAAAAAAACAAACCAAAAUUCCUCCUACUUUAUCUCACUUUCUCGUAGUAAUUUCUUUCCAGUUCUGGAUUUGCCUGUACUUUGCCUUAAGCUAGUAUAUGCAAAGAGGACAGAUGUAGCUUUAUGCCCAAGAUGUGUGAAAUAAAUGCAAUGGAAGUAUAUGAGCAUCUCACCUGAAUGCGGAGUGGCAUUGCACCGCUGGAAGUCAAUUGUGUUAGUUUCACCUUACCCUCUAAAAAAGAAGGCAAAGACAUUUAAAUAUAUCUCCACUUUUUUAAUGAUUGAUGCAAUCCCUUGUGCACAGUUUCUUUGCAAAGUGGAAGAAAGAUGAACUGUAAAUACUUUCUUUUGUCUAACUAUAGCACUGUAAUUACUAUUUCACACCUUCUCUGAGAAAGACAAGCAGGUACCCGUGAUGAGCUUUGUGAGAGGAGAGAUGCUGAGAAGGUAAAAAGAGUGUCUGGUGUCACUCAGUAUGGAACAUUACAGCUUGCCAUUAUUUAUUUUGGAACUGUGACAACUGACCAAAAGAUGGGAACUAUAAAUAGGAAUGCAAUGAACAUUAGCUGCGCAAGAAGAAAAAAACAGUGUAACUUGGCAUGCAGCAAAAAGUGUAUCUGGCAUAGCAUACAGCUGU